rnacentral:rRNA from 1 species
CUACGGGUCGCAGCAGUGAGGAAUAUUGCACAAUGGGGGGAACCCUGAUGCAGCAACGCCGCGUGGAGGAUGACGCAUUUCGGUGUGUAAACUCCUUUUAUAUGUCAAGAAAAUGACGGUAGCAUAUGAAUAAGCACCGGCUAACUCCGUGCCAGCAGCCGCGGUAAUACGGAGGGUGCAAGCGUUACUCGGAAUCACUGGGCGUAAAGGACGCGUAGGCGGGCUUGUAAGUCAGGUGUGAAAUCCUACAGCUUAACUGUAGAACUGCACUUGAAACUACGAGCCUAGAGUAUGGGAGGGGCAGAUGGGAUUAGUGGUGUAGGGGUAAAAUCCGUAGAUAUCACUAGGAAUACCUAAAGCGAAGGCGAUCUGCUGGAACAUAACUGACGCUAAGGCGUGAAAGCGUGGGGAGCAAACAGGAUUAGAUACCCUUGUAGUC